rnacentral:sRNA from 1 species
GACUAAGGUUCGAUUCGAGCGCAGCGAGAACGCGUUGCCGCAGGCAACGACCCGAAGGGCGAAGCGCGCAGCGCUGAGUCAUCCUUCCCCCACCACCA